AUGCGUCAAGUACAAGAGCUUCUCGACAAAGGUUAUAUACGCGAAUCCCUUAGUCCUUGUGCUGUUCCUAUUAUUCUAGUGCCGAAAAAGGAUGGUACAUCACGUAUGUGUGUUGAUUGUAGAGGCAUUAAUAAUAUUACUAUUCGUUAUCGUCAUCCUAUUCCUAGGCUAGAUGAUAUGCUUGAUGAAUUGAGUGGCUCUACAAUAUUCUCCAAAGUUGAUUUGCGUAGUGGAUACCAUCAAAUUCGUAUGAAAUUGGGAGAUGAAUGGAAAACAGCAUUCAAAACUAAGUUUGGAUUAUAUGAGUGGUUAGUCAUGCCUUUUGGGUUAACUAAUGCACCUAGUACUUUCAUGAGAUUAAUGAACGAAGUUUUACGUGCUUUCAUUGGACGAUUUGUGGUAGUUUACUUUGAUGACAUAUUGAUUUAUAGCAGAUCUUUGGAAGAACAUUUGGAACAUUUACGUGCUGUUUUUAUUGCUCUACGUGAUGCACGUUUGUUUGGUAACCUUGGGAAGUGCACCUUUUGCACCGACCGAGUAUCUUUUCUUGGCUAUGUUGUUACUCCACAGGGAAUUGAAGUUGAUAAAGCCAAGAUUGAAGCUAUUGAGAGUUGGCCGCAGCCCAAAACGGUCACACAAGUGAGGAGUUUUCUUGGCCUCGCUGGAUUCUAUAGGCGUUUUGUGAGAGAUUUCAGCACCAUUGCUGCACCUCUCAAUGAGCUUACAAAGAAAGAUGUGCCUUUUCUUUGGGGUACUGCACAGGAAGAAGCCUUCACGGUAUUGAUAGAUAAGUUGACACAUGCUCCUUUACUCCAACUUCCUGAUUUUAAUAAGACUUUUGAGCUUGAAUGUGAUGCUAGUGGAAUUGGAUUAGGAGGUGUGUUAUUACAAGAUGGCAAACCUGUUGCAUACUUUUCUGAAAAAUUGAGUGGGCCUAGUCUGAAUUAUUCUACUUAUGAUAAAGAAUUAUAUGCUCUUGUUCGGACUUUAGAAACAUGGCAACAUUAUUUAUGGCCCAAAGAAUUUGUUAUACAUUCUGAUCAUGAAUCUUUGAAACAUAUUAAAAGUCAAGCUAAACUGAAUCGUAGACAUGCUAAAUGGGUUGAAUUCAUUGAGACUUUCCCUUAUGUCAUUAAACACAAGAAGGGAAAAGAAAAUGUUAUUGCUGAUGCAUUGUCUCGUCGCUAUACUAUGCUUUCACAACUUGACUUCAAAAUAUUUGGUUUGGAUACCAUCAAAGAUCAAUAUGUGCAUGAUGCUGAUUUUAAAGAUGUAAUGCAGAAUUGUAAAGAAGGAAGAAUGUGGAACAAGUUUGUUGUUAACGAUGGAUUUGUGUUUCGUGCUAACAAGCUAUGCAUUCCAGCUAGCUCCGUUCGUCUUUUGUUGUUGCAGGAGGCGCAUGGAGGAGGAUUAAUGGGACACUUUGACGUGAAGAAGACGGAGGACGUACUUGCUACACAUUUCUUUUGGCCAAAGAUGAGACGGGAUGUUGAGCGUUUUAUUGCUCGCUGCACUACAUGUCAAAAAGCUAAGUCACGACUCAAUCCUCAUGGUUUAUAUAUGCCUUUGCCUGUACCUAGUGUUCCUUGGGAGGAUAUAUCUAUGGACUUUGUUUUAGGUUUACCUCGAACAAAGAAGGGGAGGGAUAGCAUAUUUGUUGUCGUGGAUAGAUUCUCGAAAAUGGCACACUUUAUACCAUGUCAUAAAAGCGAUGAUGCUGUUAAUGUUGCUGAUUUGUUCUUUCGUGAAAUUAUUCGCUUGCAUGGUGUGCCAAAUACUAUUGUUUCAGAUCGUGAUACUAAAUUUCUUAGCCACUUUUGGAGAUGUUUAUGGGCUAAGUUGGGGACUAAACUGCUUUUUAGUACUACUUGUCACCCCCAAACUGAUGGACAAACUGAAGUAGUCAAUAGAACGUUGUCUACUAUGCUUAGGGCUGUUUUGAAGAAUAAUAAGAAAAUGUGGGAGGAAUGCUUGCCUCAUAUUGAAUUUGCUUAUAAUCGUUCAUUGCAUUCUACUACUAAGAUGUGCCCUUUUGAAGUUGUGUAUGGUUUCCUACCUCGUGCACCUAUUGAUUUGUUGCCUCUUCCAUCUUCGGAGAAGGUUAAUUUUGAUGCUAAACAACGUGCUGAAUUGAUUUUAAAAAAUGCAUGA
rnacentral:rRNA from 1 species